CCUACGGGAGGCAGCAGUGGGGAAUAUUGGACAAUGGGGGGAACCCUGAUCCAGCGACGCCGCGUGAGUGAAGAAGUAUUUCGGUAUGUAAAGCUCUAUCAGCAGGGAAGAAAGAAAUGACGGUACCUGACUAAGAAGCCCCGGCUAACUCCGUGCCAGCAGCCGCGGUAAUACGUAGGGGGCAAGCGUUAUCCGGAUGUACUGGGUGUAAAGGGAGCGUAGACGGCGAUGCAAGUCUGAAGUGAAAGGCGGGGGACCAACCCCAGGACUGCUUUGGAAACUGUAAGGCUGGAGUGCAGGAGAGGUAAGUGGAAUUCCUAGUGUAGCGGUAAAAUGCGUAGAUAUUAAGAGGAACACCAGUGGCGAAGGCGGCUUACUGGAAUGUAACUGACGUUGAGGCGCGAAAGCGUGGGGAGCAAACAGGAUUAGAUACCCGAGUAGUC
rnacentral:rRNA from 1 species